AAAUCGUAUUUGAUUCACUAACUAGAAUAAAAAUGAUAUAGUGAAGAUAAGCAUGGUCCCUGCACAAGGAUGACAUAGAAUUUCAAAUGUCUCACCAAGGAAAA